UUGCAUAAUCGAAUGAGUUGGAUUUGAAAAGAGUGAGUUGUCGAAGCAAAAAGAAAAAAGAAAAUUAAUAUUGUUAUGUCUUCAAGCAUAAAAAAGUAUGUAUAAUAUAUUUCUUUUAAUAUACUAGGGAUUGAAGUUGGGUUAGGGUUUAGGAAUAAAAAGAUAAGAAUGGCAUGGAUUUUAGUGUAUUGUAGUGUUUGUGUGUGUUUUUACAAAGAUUUUUUUUAUAUGUUUGUGUGUUUUUAUUUGUUCUGUCAUUUUUUAGGGUUAAUUCUUUUUGUUUAUGUCAAUUUUAUAAUUACAGGCACUUCAUUGAUGUGUUUUUUGGUGGGGUUUUCUUUAGUGAGUAUGGCAGUAGCUUGAUGUAUGUGGGGGGAAAUAAAUGAGAAUGGUGAUUGAUGUGGAUUAUUUUUCUUCUCUCAUUUGAAGAAAUAAUGAAAAAUAUGGUAAGGAGAAUUAGGAGUUCAACAAAAAUGCACUUUAGAACAUUAGUCAAAGUAUGACACAUGGGUUGAGACUUUUAUACGAGUUUUUUUAGUGAGGACAUGGUGAAAACAGUGAAGGAGCACAACUCAGUGGAAGUAUAUAAUAAGCAUAAGUCAUUGAAGGAAUCUUUGAGGGGCAAGUUUGUAAUUUCAUCUUCUAGGGAUGGAAUGUGUGACCUAACCGUAAAUGAAGAUGUUAGUGGUUCAAGUUGCAUAAAGGAGGUGGGUGGGAAAAUAAAUGAGGCGGCCACAAGUAGUGAGGCUUGUGUUGAACAUCUAAAGCAUAUAUUUGAUCAUACAGACCAAGGUGUGAUAAAUGUCAAGAAAGAAUAGAGGUUGGUGAACAGAUAGAGGGAGUGAACCAUGCAGAUCAGGAUGGUGAGCAGACAGAGGGAGUGAACUAGGCAGAUCAAGGUGGUGAGUAGACAGAGGGUGAACCAGGGAGAUCAGGGUGGUGAGCAGACAAAACAAACUGAGCCUACUAUUGAGCAAAUUGAAGUUGCUGAUGAAGGUGAUUUUGGUGAGGAUGAAGAUAUAGAUUCUGAUGAAGAGAUUAUUGAGUGUGAAUGGUUUAGUGAUGAUGAUGAUGAAUUACGCGAAGCUAGGAAUGUUGUAAGGGAAUUUAGGAAGAAAAAGUAUAGUAAAGAUAAGAAUGUGGUUGGCAUUGGGAAUUCUUAUAAUGGAGUUUCUGUUGGCGGAAGUGCAGUUGAUGGAAUAACUAAAUAUGUUGCUCAAAAAAGAAAAUAGAUUAGGAUUGUAAGAAGUACAAAAGAGGAAGUAAGGGCUAAGUCUGUGAAGAAUUCUUGUCCUUGGGUGAUCUAUGCCUCCAAGGACUCCAACAGCUAAAGGUUUCUUAUAAAGACUUAUAUAGCUGAGUAUAACUGCGCUAUUACUUACAAGAAUAGGAGAAUGAAUACUAAAUGGAUUACAAAGAAUUACCUUAUAAAGUACAAAUCACUUGCACGCAUGAAGCUAACAGAUUUGAAAGAAGUGGUGAAAGAAGAUUUAAAACAUGAAGUGAGCUUGACUAAGAUGAGGAGAGAAAAGAUGUGUGUGUUAGCACAUUUUUAAGGUGAUUUGAAGAAAAAAGUUCGAAUUGCUAUGGGAUUACUUAGGUUAGAUCAACAGGUUCAAUGUUGGCUCUAUAAUUGAGAUGAAAGUUUACAAACCAAUUCCAGAUCAACUUCUAGUGUUUUCAAAGACUGUAUAUUUCAUUUGAUUGCUUAAAGAAAGGAUUGUUGAAUGGUUAUAGAAGGGUGUUAGGAUUGGAUAGUUGUUUUUCUAAAAGGAGCUAUUAAAAGAGAAGUGUUAUCUGCUGUUGGGAGGGAUGGGAACAAUCAAAUGUUCCCUGUGGCCUGGGCAGUAGUUGACACUUAGAGAAAAGAGACUUGGGACUAGUUUUCAUAACUAUUUAUAAAGGAUUUGAAAAUGGAGGAUGGGAGCGGCUGGUGUAUUAUUACAGAUUAACAAAAGGACCUUUUAGAUUAUAUACAGAAUUUACUCCCUAGUACUGAAGAAAGAUGUUGUACAAGACAUCUUUAUGUAAAUUGGAGAAAGAGACAUGGGGGGAGGAAAUACUUGCAAAAGCAGUUCUGGAUGUGUGUGAAAUUAACUAAGAUGCCAAAUUUUGAUGCCAAUAUGAAAGAGCUGAAAAGGUUAACUCCAAGUGGUUUCGAUGACAUCCUAAAAACUUAUCCUCGCCAUUAGUAUAAAGCGUAUUUUACAAUUGAGGUAAAGUGUGAUAUAGUAGACAAUAAUCUCAUUGAAGCUUAUGAUUGAGACUAGGACCAAGAAUAUAAUAUCUAUACUAGAAGAUAUUAGGAGGUUAGUGAUGACUAGAUUAGUUACAAAUAGAGAUAUGACUGCUAAAUAGAUUGGUGAUUUUGGAAUAGAAUUAGGAAGAAAUGGCAUGAUAGUAUAUUGGAACGUGCAUUAUGCCAAGUCAUUUGGAAUGUGGAUGAGGGGAUUGAGAUUGCAUACAAGGGGAUACUUAUUUUGUAGACUUGAGUCAAAUUACUUGCCCAUGUAAAUGACAGCUGACCAACAUACCCUAUCAUCAUGCCAUUUGUGCAAAUUUACAUAUAGAUCAUAAUCCUGAGGACUUUGUGGACUACAUUUAUAGGAAAGACACCCUAUGAAACCUAUGAAUAGCAAGAAAUUUAGGAGUAAGACAAAUAAAAAUCCACCCCAGCCUCCUCCAAUUAAAAAAAAAUGCUUGGUAAACCUGCUAGAAAUAAAAGAAUGGAGGAUGGAGAGAGUACAAGUGGGUAUAAACUGUCUAGAAGGGGGUAGGGUUAUUGACCUAUCAAGUAUGCUUCGAGAAAGUUCAUAAUAAGAAAACUUGUCGAGUGUUCAAGAGCAUGAAGGCUCAAUCACAUGAUACACAAAAUCAGAUUCCAUUUGAGCAAUCAAAAUUACAGCCUACUGUUAGGGUCACUCAACCAUCUAGAAUUCAAAGUUGCAGGUAAGAGGAAGGAAAGGCAAAUCUGGCAUUCAAAAUUAUUCAAGGCAUAGCCAGCCCCAACAGGACCAAGAACCAACAAAUGAAGGUGCACCAUUAAAUGCCACUCCAAUUUUUGUAAGUGAGGAUAGGCAGCAUGCUUCAAGGGACGCCAAUGACCAAAUUGGCUAUAGAAGGUCUCAAAGUUAUUUCUACUAUUCAAAGAGAAUUAAUGCAGGCAGAAAUUAUAUUCCAAGGCUUAUUGAUCAACCUGUUGCAGGAUAUGGUGUAUAUACAAACUCUACAGGGAAUGUGGUAAUCAAUAUAUGUAAUUUAUCUUUAUUAAUCUGUUAAAUAAUUAUUAAUUUUUUUUAUAUAAAAUGGAUUUUCAAUUAAUUUAUAAACUUACUUUCCAACCAAAAACUAGUUCAUAAAGAGUUAUCUAUAAGGAUGGAAUGAGAAGAGUUGGCAAUGAGGCAGAGCCUGCCUUUAUGACUGAACAAAGAGUAGGAUUCAAUAAGUGGGGUAGGAAAUUCAUUACAAGAAGUCAGUUACAGGCAUCUAAAAAACCAAAGUCAGAAGAGAAAAAUCCACUCCUCAAAAAGUGAUCAAAACAGAAAGGGUAAACAAGCCAAGACUAACAACAUAGAAACACUUUCAACAGUAGCAAAAGUUGUCAACUUAUCUCAAGAGGCACCACAAUUUUCAAUAUUAACUCAAGAGUCUAUAAAGUCACUCCUACAGUGAAGAAGAUAUGAAGAAUAUUUAUGCAAAAGCUUCUUAUUUUGCCAUUUUGUGUUGAUAUGUUAUUUUUUCCUUUUUAAGGUGAAUUGGACAUGUACUUGUUAGGUACAACUUUUAUGUUUUGCUUAUAUGCUUCUUAUGAAGCUUUUUUGGUAAACAAUCUAAGGCAGUGGACUACUUGUGUUAGCUACAAUCUAAGGCAGUGUACCUAUCGAUGCAGUCUAGCACUAAUGGCGAGUAUCAAGGUCAUAUUCCUCGGAAAAAUGAAAGC